UUGCCUCGUCUGGAAGUCAAUGGGUUUUUAGUUAGAUGGUUGAAAUAAGGUCUGUGUUUUACACAUGCUGAAGAGAUUUUAGUGUUUUGUUCUACGACAUAAAAUACAUCAAUAAAUACCCCACUGGUGAAUUUUGAAGCCUUUAUGUGUUUUAAAAAAGGCGGUUGUUAACAAGUGGCUAAUUGAGACUACUAAACGGCAU